GCGGUGCUCCAUACCGUCCUAGAGGAGCCUGUCCUAUAAUCGAUAAUCCACGCUAUACCUCACCGCCCCUUGCAAUUCAGCCUAUAUACCGCCGUCGCCAGCCUACCUUGUGAAAGAAGAAAAGUGGGCAAAACAGUAAACAACUAAAACGACAGGUCAAGGUGUAGCCUAUGGGCCGGCAGAGAUGGGCUACACUUUCUAUCACAGAAGAAACGAAUAGUACAAUGAAACUUGAACUUAAAGGCGGAUUUAGUAGUAAGAAAAGCAAGAAAACUUAUCUGAAACCCGCUCUGGAGCGCGCACACACCGCCCGUCACCCUCAUCACACGCAAAUUUUUACCCUAAAAUAUAGCACCCCUACAAAACAGAUGAGGAAAGUCGUAACAUGGUAAGCGCACCGGAAGGCGCGCUUGGAAUAACAAACAGUAGCUUAACACAAAGCAUUCAGCUUACAAUUGAAGCAUGUUAGUGAAACCCUAACCUUUUUGA
rnacentral:rRNA from 1 species